AAACUCUUACGGAUGAGUCAGAGAUCUUGGGUUCUCUUUCCAGGCGUGCCCUAACCUAAGCGUGGGCUUCAGUUUACAACUUGCUUGAGGUUCCCUCUACCUCUAUAAUUAAUUUCUUUAUAAGUGAUUAUAUCACAAAAGAAAUUAUACAUAUAAAGUUCUCAUGAAGCUUUAAACGUAAAGUUUAAGAACACAAUAAUUCUGCCCCUUGAAAAUUAUUCAAAACAUUAAUUUGUUUUUCAUGGUGCCCCACCCCAGCUCAAAAAAAUACCUAUGGUGGUUUCUAUUAUUAAUUAAACCCCCAAAACGUCUAUCUAUAUUCAAAUACUUUAGUAGCCAUUUGAAAAAAGUAACACACAUAAAUUUGAAAUAAAAUUUUUAUUGUAUUCUUAAAUAACAACUACUUCUUAAUGAGAUAUGUGUGCCUGCUAGACACUCUAAAAUUAAUCUAACCUCAGAUUCGGAUCAGACAAUGAUGCUCAUUUCUUGUUCUACAAUGACUUUUACACGUAGCACUUGCUUUGUACCACAGUAACUGUCCAAAGUCCAGCAUCCCAAACACUAUAAUGGAGUGUUUCUAGUUUUCUUACUACUUUUUUCCCCUUCAAUCUCCAAAUCUGCAAGUGUUUCCUGGAUAACUUUAAGCAAUACUUUUAAUAUCUAAAACCAAUCACUGGAAUAACAUUUCCAGGAAUCCUCAAGGCAGCAGGUUUGGAGAUUUAAAAAGAAAGAAGUAGCUUCAAUUUCAACUCCUAAGAAAAAUACUGUUUCUUACUGAUGAAGAAUCAAAGACAUGGGGAGAUCAAUGAAAAAUCAAUAGGAAUCUCAGAUUAACCAAUGCAAUAACCACAUAUUUCUUUCUUCUAUUAUUCUGGGGCAAAAUCUAGGUAAAGAACUGUCUCAGGCUUCACAUGAAAGAUUUUCACGUUGGUCACAUGUCCCUACCAAAAAAAAUGUUAGGUUAACUUGCUGUCCUUAGAAUUAACUUUUUUUGCACUGCUAAACAUAAUUUAAAUUUAAGCAUGACUUGCAGAAAUAGACUUAUACAGUAAAUCUACUUAUUUUAUAGUCAAAUAAUUUAGAGUUCUAAAUUAAUCAAAGCUCUUUUACAUAGAAAAUGGUUCUACUUUUAAAACUUUACUAUUGAAUUAUACAUCAAUUAUUGUCUGUUUAUACAAUAAACUGCUGAGGUAGAAAGAAGUCAGGCUGGAAGCCCAAACUUCUAUGUAUAAAAUGCACCAAGAUCUCUUACUGAUCCUGAACUACACUUGCAGGUAGAGCAGAAACCAGGACUUUAGCUUCUGCCUACCAGAGGGGACAGAGCUAGGAGUUAGUUCAGCCAAGCUAAUUGCCUGACCAAACAAAAGUUAGCUCACUUUAGGGGAAUAUAACAGAAUCCAGAGUCAGAGGUCGGCAGACUUUUUCUUCAAUGGCCAGACAGUACAUAUUUUAGGCUUUGCUGGCUACGAAGCAAUAUUAGGAAUAUUAUGUAGGGAAUUAUGUAACCAUCUGAAAUGUAACCAUUUAAAAAUAUAAAUAACAUUCUUAGUUUAUGGGCUCAGUGGGCCAGAUUUGGUUCAUAGGCUGUACUUAGCCAGCUUCUCCUCCACAGCAAAUCAUUCAUAAUGUCCAGUCUAUAACCCAAAACUGUCAGACAUAUAAACAAUAUUUUUUUAAAAAGAAGAAAAUAUGAACCAUAUUUAAAAGAAAAGCAGUCAGUAGCAAUAACCACAAGAUUGCCCACAUGUUGGAAUUAGCAGGAAAGGAUUUAAAAGCAUCCACUCUAAAUGUUGGAAGAUAUCAAUGAAAAUAUGCUUCUAGUAGACAUGAAAUCUCAAGA
rnacentral:lncRNA from 1 species